GCAGAUAUAGUUCAGUGGUAGAGCACGUACUUAGCAUGCCCAAGGUCCUGGGUUCAAUCCCCAGUACCUCUU
rnacentral:tRNA from 1 species